UUUAGUUUUAAAAAGUGUUAUCAGAUUUCAAAAUUUCUUAAAGUUUUAAUAGAACAAGAAUUUUCAGAAAAUAUGCAUAAAUGAGAAAAGUAUACUUAUUUGCAAACCAUCCACUUACUGAAUUGCAAGCUCAUGUUUUUCCACCCUUUUUCUGAGCAGAUAGUAGUAAAGUUGAGCAGUCAUGGAGCUUGUCAAUUCACCUAAUUGAGCCACAUGUCAGUAAUUGUAUAGCCUACUUUAUCAGAUUAUCAUUUGAUAUCUUUAGUACGUUUGGGGACCUUUGGUUGUAGAGUAAAGUUAUUAUCGAUUUGCUAGUAUUCUAUUUGAAUAGUUUGGAUUUUGAAGGGCUGGUGUAACAUGUUUUAUAUUAUAUGUAGUGAUUUAAGGAAAAUUGGUAGUUGUUCAGGUGGUUUUAAUUCGUAUUUCAGGGAAAAUUCUGUUAAAAUUUUUUUUUAGUCAAGCAAAUCAAGGUUGCCUUGGUAGUGGGCCGACAUUGAAUUGGUAUUUAUCAUCGGCGCACGACACGUGUCAAGUUCACUAAGGUGAUUUGGAACGGGUUUGUGUCAAUCUCUCUAACUCACUUGACUGAGAGCUCUUUCUAAAUUCGACAAUUUAGUCAGUGUAGACCAACUGUUGUUCAUGAUGAAUAUUUAAUGUCUAGCAAUUUUACUGAGUACUCCCUUCUGGAUUCUACAACUUGAAUGGUUCAUCGAUAGUCUCAAUUGUAUUGGGUAUGUGACUUGAGACAGGGGUCUGACUGUUUCACUUUUUUGAGUCGCUUUGCUUUUCCCAAGUUGCUUUUAAUUUCUAACUUUUCUUUGAACUAACAGAGGUUUCCUUGUUUAUGGUUUCAGGUUGAUGGUUGAUAACAAGUUCAGGCAACGCAUGCUGACGAUAUUUUACAAGGGAUACCGAAAUCUAGUUCAUAGGAUGAUGUUUAAUAUAUGGAUGUAUCAGUUGGUUCUCUGGUUUAUGUUCUAAAUACUGCUUGUGCAAGGAAACUUAUCCAACUUCCUUUAUUUUGUCUUGGUGUGAAGAUUGUAUAAACUAUCACAGAUGAUAAUUUAUUUUUUCUUAUGACCUGUGUUUUUACUUCCAUAACGAAUUGAAGGAUGUUAGAAUCCGUUGGA
rnacentral:lncRNA from 1 species